GAUGAAGAACGUAGCGAAAUGCGAUAAGUAAUGUGAAUUGCAGAAUUCAGUGAAUCAUCGAAUCUUUGAACGCACAUUGCGCCCGCUAGUAUUCUGGCGGGCAUGCCUGUCCGAGCGUCAUUUCAACCCUCAAGCCCCCGGGCUUGGUGUUGGGGAUCGGCGAGCCUCCGCGCCCGCCGUCCCCUAAAUCUAGUGGCGGUCUCGCUGUAGCUUCCUCUGCGUAGUAGCACACCUCGCACUGGGAAACAGCGAGGCCACGCCGUUAAACCCCCAACUUCUGAACGUUUGACCUCGGAUCAGGUAGGAAUACCCGCUGAACUUAAGCAUAUCAAUAAGCGGAGGA
rnacentral:misc_RNA from 1 species